GACGAAGGUGGCGAGCGUUGUUCGGAAUCACUGGGCAUAAAGCGCACGUAGGCGGUGCCGUAAGUCGGGUGUGAAAUCCCUCGGCCUAACCGAGGAACUGCGCCCGAUACUGCGGUGCUUGAGGACCAGAGGGGUGCAUGGAAUUUCCGGUGGAGCGGUGAAAUGCGUUGAUAUCGGAAGGAACUCCGGCGGCGAAAGCGAUGCACUGGCCGGUUUCUGACGCUGAGGUGCGAAAGCCAGGGGAGCAAACGGG
rnacentral:rRNA from 1 species